rnacentral:rRNA from 1 species
UACGUAGGGGCCAAGCGUUGUCCGGAUUUAUUGGGCGUAAAGAGCUCGUAGGUGGUUUGUCGCGUUGUUCGUGAAAACUCACAGCUCAACUGUGGGCGUGCGGGCGAUACGGGCAGACUAGAGGUAUGCAGGGGAGGACGGAAUUCCUGGUGUAGCGGUGAAAUGCGCAGAUAUCAGGAGGAACACCGGUGGCGAAGGCGGUUCUCUGGGCAUGACCUGACGCUGAGGAGCGAAAGUGUGGGGAGCGAACAGG